GAGGAGCAUGACUAGGUGAGAUCCGGGCUCGCGCGAAAGUUGUGGCAGGACGUGGAGGACUUAAGGUGGAGGCCGAAAGUCCCUUGUUUCAAAGUUUUGUUUCGAAUGCUCUCUUGGUUCUGGAAAGCUAUGAACGGGCUUAUGUCAAUAUGGUCCGAGUUCAGCAGUUGUCAGAACUAGAGUAGGUUAUUGACUACUGCACACUUCCUUUGGGGAAUUCUAUUGCUGAGGGUCGUCGAGCCCUUAUUCGCAACAUGUGGACUGAGUUGAACACAGGGAGCAAAACGAAAUGUUGAGGUUUGGCAAGCACUUUUAGCUGUUAGAGCACUUGUGCUGCCACCUACUAAAGAUACUGAUAACUGGCUUUAGUUUGCUUCACUCUGUCGGAAAAGUGGACGGAUUAGUCAAGCUAGGUCCACUCUAAUCAAACUCUUACAGGUCAGUGGUGUAUAAUGGUUCUAUUGAGGUGACUUUGGAUUGGAACUUGAAGCGGUCAGACCAGAGAUAAAAAUGAAUAAUAUCGCAACUUUAUAAAGCGGUAAGGGCAAAGGGAAGGUUGACCAGCCAUGAGUUGGAGAGCUUGGCAGUGGGGUAUGCAUGUUCAACCUGCUCAGCUUAUUGACAUGAGUUAUUUGAAGGACAAAAAGUCCAUUUUUGUCGCUUAGGUCAACUCAUUUUGUAACGACCCAAAAUUACUAAUAAGGCUUAAGGGCCUUGAUUAGUGUGCUGGGAGGGCAUAAUUGGUAUUUAUGUGAAUAAAUGAUUAAAUGCAUGAUUAUGUGAUAUGCAUGAUCCUAUGAUUAUAUGGAUAUGUGAAAUACAUGUUUAUGAGUAUUAAAUAUGCAUGUGGGCC